CGCCGGCCCGACGGGCGCCGACCGGGCUGGCUCCGAGCCGGCCGGCGGGCUGUCCCGGUCGGCCCGCCGGCGGC
rnacentral:tRNA from 1 species